GUUCAUAAGUUUCGUUCAACAGUUGUACGUUGUCUUCGUUCAGAAUGGGUGGCUUAAUGGCAAAAUAUAUUAGAAAAGAGAAGAAAACCGCGGACGAAACAAUCAUGUCCCGAUUGGAUCAGCAAAGAAACAAUUUAUUAACAUUUCAGAAGCAAAUUGAGCCUACUCUGGAAAUCGGACGGCGGCAAGCGAAACAACUGCUUCAUGAAGGGAAGCGUGAGGAAGCAAGACAGUUCUAAGGAAGAAACGAUACCGUGAGCGACAGUUACGAAAUUCUAACGCGCAGUUAGAUAUACUAGAUCAGAUUACUAACGAUAUUCAGACGUUCAACUCACUGAAAGAGGUAUCGCAACAUGGAGAUAACAAACUAAAACGUGGCAAGUGGAGAUCCAUCAUAAAAAGGAAAAUAAAAAGACCACAAAAUAAUACUGAUUCGAGAAAGAAACUGGGAAAGCCCGUUAACAAGGACAUUGAAAUUCAGGUACUUAGUACGCAGUUUUUAAGUAAAAAGGACCGAAAAACAAGUAAGAAAAUAUAUUCUAAAGCCAGAAAUGGAAUUGAAAAGCAGAAAGAAAUAGAUGAAGCUAUAAUGCUUUCUUUUAAGUUAGAAACUGGAGACGAAGAUGCAGUACAUGAAGAGCUGGAAGCUAUUUUGCAUGGCAGCUACCAACUGCCCGACAUCGAUCAAGAUAGCCACGUAGAAUCAUCUCAAGCGUCUGUCGAUAUUGUUACAGAGGUAACAGGGGUAGUUGUUACUGCUUAAGUAAUUUUAUUGAUCAUAUUAAUAUUUGUAAUGUGAACUUCUUAAGAUGGCUAGCCAUAAAAGUUCAAAAUUAGUCAGACAAAUAUAUUAAGAAAUAAAGAGUUGAUUUUGGUUGUACCUUUAGUCCUCUAUACACAACUCUUGAAUCCUCUCAUCUCUAGGAUGCAAUAUCAUCUAUGAUUUAAUAUUUAUUCGGGAAACGUAUUGUUAUAUCCAAUAAUUUAGACUCGGAAAAAACGGGUUUGUUCCAGACAUCGGAUUCCUGAUUCGUCGGAAUAAUCUAACUAUAAAUAUAGAUAUACUUAGAAACUGGAUUUUAGCCAUGUAUAAAGUCCGACGAAACAGCAAUACGACGAAUCAAGAUUCCGACGAAACUGGAAUAAACCAAAAAAACGUCCGUCAUUUUGAAAACCUUAUUCUGUAUAGUAGGUAUGUCAACGAUUAAAAAUAUGCUCCAAUGAUAUCCACGAGACUGUAAACUGGUGUACAUAAUUAUAUUUUGGACUUGAGUCAAGCCGCGUGAAGUUUUCAACAAUUUUGAUAGCCCUGCAUUUGUAAGGGUUAAGUAAACGUCAUCAUUUCAUCGAAGCUUGACGUUUAGAAUAACAGUUGCACCGGUGAGGCUGUGAAAAUUGUUGCAAACUUAUCGUGGGUUUACUUUACUACAUAAUAUUUCCGAGAUUUGAUCAAACCAUAAUAAUUUAUGUCAAUGGGUUGAUAAAUAACCCCUUUUCAAGCACAGACCUAUUAACUUUGUAUUAGAAUAGAACAACAUGUGUUGAUAAUUAAGAUAUCGUCACUACUUUUAAAAAAUCUCGUAUCUCACGCUGUUCCUCAAAGUUAAAACGCAGUAAGUCUAUAUGCAUUCCAUACAUACAUACUACAAUUUUCUUUACAUUGACAGACGAAGAUACA
rnacentral:lncRNA from 1 species